UGCUCUCUCAGCUCCAACCACCAUCCCUGUGGCUGUGCGGGCUCCUCCAGCAAACGUGGCCCAGAGGGCACUGUCUCAGCGCAGAGGGGGAGACAGUUAAACUGGGCUCAGCCUUUCCUCCCGAGGACAAGGCUCUGUUUGAGCCCACGCCCACCGAUCUCACACUCUCACUAAAUGGCUAGCGACAUCUCGGCUGCCUCAGGCACUGGAAGCCACGGCCCGCACCCACUGUCCCAACCAGUGUAAAUUCUUGCUGUAAAUGGGAACAGAAGUACGUAAAUCCAAACUACAGUGAUGUCUGUCCAGCCUCCUCUGGAAAACAGUGAGUCAGGCCUGUAAAAAUGAGAAGUCCAAGACUAGAAAGAGUAUAGGUUGGGGCAAACCUGAAGGCUAGUGUUGUGAACACUGCUCCUCACCAACAGUCACAGGUAGUAUGACUGUCUCUUAUGUAACUGAAGUUACAAAGAGUUCGAGAGACUUACCAAUAAAAAUAUGUGUCACA